AACGUAGGACACAAGCGUUAUCCGGAAUUACUGGGCGUAAAGGGCGUGCAGGCGGUUUCGUAAGUUAGGGGGGAAAGACUUCGGCUAAACCGGGGGAGGUCGUCUGAUACUGCGUAACUAGAGUGUGGUAGAGGCGUGUAGAAUUCCGGGUGUAGUGGUGAAAUGCGUAGAGAUCCGGAGGAAUACCAGUGGCGAAGGCGGCACGCUGGGCCAUAACUGACGCUAAGACUCGAAAGCAUGGGUAGCGAACGGG
rnacentral:rRNA from 1 species